GAUGAACGCUGGCGGCGUGCCUAAUACAUGCAAGUCGAGCGAACGGACGAGAAGCUUGCUUCUCUGAUGUUAGCGGCGGACGGGUGAGUCACACGUGGAUAACCUACCUAUAAGACUGGGAUAACUUCGGGAAACCGGAGCUAAUACCGGAUAAUAUUUUGAACCGCAUGGUUCAAAAGUGAAAGACGGUCUUGCUGUCACUUAUAGAUGGAUCCGCGCUGCAUUAGCUAGUUGGUAAGGUAACGGCUUACCAAGGCAACGAUGGAUAGCCGACCUGAGAGGGUGAUCGGCCACACUGGAACUGAGACACGGUCCAGACUCCUACGGGAGGCAGCAGUAGGGAAUCUUCCGAAAUGGGCGAAAGCCUGACGGAGCAACGCCGCGUGAGUGAUGAAGGUCUUCGGAUCGUAAAACUCUGUUAUUAGGGAAGAACAUAUGUGUAAGUAACUGUGCACAUCUUGACGGUACCUAAUCAGAAAGCCACGGCUAACUACGUG
rnacentral:rRNA from 1 species